rnacentral:sRNA from 1 species
GGAGCGAGACGGAAGCAGCUCAGGAGACUUGAGGCGUAGGCUGCGGUCCCCAAGGUGACCGCGCCCUAUGUGGGACUCGCCCUAAUGCCUCUGAACCUGGGUUUGAGGUGCAGCAUGCCAGCAAGCAGAUCACUGCAGAUAAGCAAUACAAAGGCAUUAUAGACUGCGUGGUCCGUAUUCCCAAGGAGCAGGGAGUUCUGUCCUUCUGGCGCGGUAACCUGGCCAAUGUCAUCAGAUACUUCCCCACCCAGGCUCUUAACUUCGCCUUCAAAGAUAAAUACAAGCAGAUCUUCCUGGGUGGUGUGGACAAGAGAACCCAGUUUUGGCGCUACUUUGCAGGGAAUCUGGCAUCGGGUGGUGCCGCAGGGGCCACAUCCCUGUGUUUUGUGUACCCUCUUGAUUUUGCCCGUACCCGUCUAGCAGCUGAUGUGGGUAAAGCUGGAGCUGAAAGGGAAUUCCGAGGCCUCGGUGACUGCCUGGUUAAGAUCUACAAAUCUGAUGGGAUUAAGGGCCUGUACCAAGGCUUUAACGUGUCUGUGCAGGGUAUUAUCAUCUACCGAGCCGCCUACUUCGGUAUCUAUGACACUGCAAAGGGAAUGCUUCCGGAUCCCAAGAACACUCACAUCGUUAUCAGCUGGAUGAUCGCACAGACUGUCACUGCUGUUGCCGGGUUGACUUCCUAUCCAUUUGACACCGUUCGCCGCCGCAUGAUGAUGCAGUCAGGGCGCAAAGGAACUGACAUCAUGUACACAGGCACGCUUGACUGCUGGAGGAA